rnacentral:rRNA from 1 species
AACGAACGCUGGCGGCAGGCUUAACACAUGCAAGUCGAGCGCCCCGCAAGGGGAGCGGCAGACGGGUGAGUAACGCGUGGGAAUCUACCCAUCUCUACGGAAUAACGCAUGGAAACGUGUGCUAAUACCGUAUACGUCCUUCGGGAGAAAGAUUUAUCGGAGAUGGAUGAGCCCGCGUUGGAUUAGCUAGUUGGUGGGGUAAAGGCCUACCAAGGCGACGAUCCAUAGCUGGUCUGAGAGGAUGAUCAGCCACACUGGGACUGAGACACGGCCCAGAGUCCUACGGGGGGCAGCAGUGGGGAAUAUUGGACAAGGGGCGCAAGCCUGACCAGCCAUGCCGCGUGAGUGAUGAAGGCCCUAGGGUUGUAAAGCUCUUUCACCGGUGAAGAUAAUGACGGUAACCGGAGAAGAAGCCCCGGCUAACUUCGUGCCAGCCGCCGCCGUAACAC